AUUGAACGCUGGCGGCAUGCCUUACACAUGCAAGUCGAACGGUAACAGGUCUUCGGAUGCUGACGAGUGGCGAACGGGUGAGUAAUGCAUCGGAACGUGCCCAGUAGUGGGGGAUAGCCCGGCGAAAGCCGGAUUAAUACCGCAUACGACCUGAGGGUGAAAGGGGGGGAUCGCAAGACCUCUCGCUAUUGGAGCGGCCGAUGUCAGAGUAGCUAGUUGGUGGGGUAAAGGCCUACCAAGGCAACGAUCUGUAGUUGGUCUGAGAGGACGACCAGCCACGCUGGGACUGAGACACGGCACAGACUCCGACGGGAGGCAGCAGUGGGGAAUUUUGGACAAUGGGCGCAAGCCUGAUCCAGCAACGCCGCGUGCAGGAAGAAGGCCUUCGGGUUGUAAACUGCUUUUGUCAGGGAAGAAAUCUUCUGGGUUAAUACCUCGGGAGGAUGACGGUACCUGAAGAAUAAGCACCGGCUAACUACGUGCCAGCCGCCGCCGUAACAC
rnacentral:rRNA from 1 species